ensembl:ncRNA C54D2.18 ncRNA
CUUGCCCAAAAAAACCGCAAAACGCAUGUAUUAUUUGCAUUUGAGCAUGCCGCACGAUGCGGCAAAGUUGAUGUUGCUACCGCCAAGCACUCAUAAACAUACCGACACUUUUUCACGGCUUUUGCCCAUUGUCACUGACAUAAUUAAGCAGCGUCUGCGUGCCGUAAGACGCCGAAAAAAGUUCGGCAGACACUUUGUCG